GAUCUUUUUGAUGAAAAUGUCCUUCUUUUUUUCCAACUUCAGUGGCUGCAGGGCGCGGUCGUAAUAAUCAGCUAUCUAACAAACAACAUCGGUGAAAUCAUGUGUAUCAGUGAGAACAGGAAUAAGAAGAAACGUGUGAACAGGUUAGGAAGUGUGGCUUCAUUCCUGCAUGUUGUUCUGCACAUUCCAGCCGUUGCAAACAGAUCUUUUAUUUUGGACUCUCUGUUCUGUAAAGGCAUGUCUUCCCGAGCCGUACUUGUUCCUACUGCGCAGGAAAAAGGUCAUCUGAGAGCAGCAGCCGUUCCUUUUCUGCAGACGCCGCAUAUUUAACAUUCCUGUUUGCUUCACGCUGUCUUUGUUGAGCCAGAAUGUCUGCAGAACCGAAACCGUCCUAAAUAAUGUAUCCCGGUUCAGUCCAGCUCGACUUGUAAAGCCUGAACACCUUUUCCAGGCGGCUGCAGAAAUGUGAGCCACCGCCGGUGAGUCACUGUGAAACCACUUCAGGACAUCGGAAUAAAAAAGCCUGUUAUUCAGCAGGAACACAGAGAUCAGGAGCUGCUCUCACUAACACACCCAGCUGGGCAGGUGAGAUGCUUUUCUCACAUUAAUGAAUAACCUGUUUGUUCUUAGUGUCUGUGCUGCGCUGAUGAGUGGCGCUCAUCUCGCCCCCACAUUAACAUGCUGAUUAAACUCUGCAGCUGAAGCGUUUCUGCAGCCAAUCGGAUCGUCCAUAAAACAAACCGUCUCAGCCCAACAUGAGCAACGGCACCGCUCAGCUAAUGAGGCGACGCUGCACAGCGUGAUGCCAGCUGUUCUCCUGAGGUUUUUCAUCGUUUCAUCACUUCGUUCUUUGACCUUGACCUUCCUCUGAGGUCGUUCAGCUUGUGUGACUUCUUGUUUACUGAACUCAGAGAACAGAGAGUCUCUGCCUGUGGCAGCAGCGUUUCUUUCUGCUGCUCGGUUCUUGGAAACGCUCCGCUGAAGUGUGACAGAGUCCAUCAGAAACUCGAACUUCUCCAGCUCCUUUUCCUGCUAACGCACCAGCAGAGCAAUCCCAGACCGAACUGCAGCUCUCGCUUUUUCCGGGAACGAUAAAAAGCCGCUUCAGGGAAAUAAUCUGGCCCAGUUUUUUCACUUCCGGCUCACCUCCGGCGCUGACGCCUCCCGCAGGAAUGUGUGGCGGUGACGCCGGGCGGCGCUCCAGCUCUGAUCAGCAGCAACGUGACCUCGUUCGGACGGUGCAGGAAACACAUCGCCGUCCUCUAAACAAAACGCUGCAUCAUGAGGAGGCGGCAGGCUGCAACAGGUCCAACCUGCAAGAGCGAAAACAUGGGGACCACAAACACAAACUGGAGAACAUUUUCAGGGAUGGAUCUGGAGUUUUCAUAUCUGCUGCAGCACAGAAACGCAUCGACUUGUUGUUCUGACAGGAACGUUUCUGACUGAACGGAGCCUCUUCUGCUCUUUCAUAUCUUGUUUACUGUGAGAGUGAAACUACAAAUCAUUCUUAAAGCGAUUUGAUUGAUAAAAACUGUAAUCCUGAUCCUGUUUUUAUCUUGGUUGUACAAAUUGUUGCUCCUCAUCAACAUUGUUUGGUUUGGAGAAGAACUUCUCCUGCUCUGUUUGCUCCGAAGAUUGUUCAGCUCAGUUUGUUUCUGAAGUUCUCAGAAAAACUUAAUAAAAAAAUGCUUCAA